GAAGGGGCCAAGACUUUGAUUACCGGUUCCUUGAACAAAAUCAUGCAUCUCGAAGAAUUAAAACGGGUAUAGUAAUAAACACAAUUGUAACAGAACUUAAAUCCUAGUUUUGUUGCUAAAGUAGGAUUAAACCAAUUGUUACUGCCAUGAGUACCAAACAGGUGGAAAAUCUCACUUUUAAUGAUGGCCGAUUCUUUCGCUCU
rnacentral:misc_RNA from 1 species